ACCUUUCUCAAACUUAACCACAUUUUUAUAAUCUACAUCAAAUAUUUAAUCUAUAUUCACUCAAAUCUCAACAAUAUAUUGAAUAACAUUAAAACAAUGCAUUAAUUCACAUACAAACUUACUUUGGUGCAACAAUAUAGAAAUUUAGCAAUUUAGUCUUUAAUCUUUUCUUUUCUCCGAUCAAGGUCGAUUCCACUUCUUUCUUGAACUAUAAUAACACAUUUGACUUAUUUA
rnacentral:lncRNA from 1 species